rfam:Negativicoccus succinicivorans DORA_17_25 Q612_NSC00341, whole genome shotgun sequence.
UUUUCAUCCAGAGCGACCGAGGGACCGGCCCAAUGACGUCGCGGCAACCAUCUCCAUACGGAGACCGGUGCCAAUUCCGCGGGAGUUAUCCCGAGAGAUGAAGA